CUACGGGCCGCUGCAGUGGGGAAUAUUGCACAAUGGGCGCAAGCCUGAUGCAGCCAUGCCGCGUGUAUGAAGAAGGCCUUCGGGUUGUAAAGUACUUUCAGCGGGGAGGAAGGGAGUAAAGUUAAUACCUUUGCUCAUUGACGUUACCCGCAGAAGAAGCACCGGCUAACUCCGUGCCAGCAGCCGCGGUAAUACGGAGGGUGCAAGCGUUAAUCGGAAUUACUGGGCGUAAAGCGCACGCAGGCGGGUUGUUAAGUCAGAUGUGAAAUCCCCGGGCUCAACCUGGGAACUGCAUCUGAUACUGGCAAGCUUGAGUGUCGUAGAGGGUGGUAGAAUUCCAGGUGUAGCGGUGAAAUGCGUAGAGAUCUGGAGGAAUACCGGUGGCGAAGGCGGCCCCCUGGACGAAGACUGACGCUCAGGUGCGAAAGCGUGGGGAGCAAACAGGAUUAGAUACCCUAGUAGUC
rnacentral:rRNA from 1 species